rnacentral:rRNA from 1 species
GACGAACGCUGGCGGCGCGCUUAACACAUGCAAGUCGAACGGAAAGGCCUGCUUUCCCUUGUGGUUUGCGGGUACUCGAGUGGCGAACGGGUGAGUAACACGUGAGUGAUCUGCCCCCACCUUGGGUAUAAGCCUGGGAAACUGGGUCUAAUUCCCGAUAGGACUGCAGGGUGGUGCCUGUGGUGGAAAACGAUUUUCUAGUGGUUGGGGAUGAGCUGGCGGCCCAUCAGCUUGUGGGUGGGGUAAUGACCUACCACGGCGGCGACGGGUAGCCGGCGCGGGAGGGGGGACGGCGACAUUGGGACUGGGAUACGGCCCAGACUCCGAGGGGAGGCAGCAGUGGGGAAUAUUGCACAGUGGGCGGAAGCCUGAUGCAGCGACGCCGCGUGGGAGAUGACGGCCUUCGGGUGGUAAACUCCUUGCGACCGCGAGGAAGCCACCUGGUUGGAAGGGUGGUGACGUUAGUGGUAGAAGAAGCACCGGCUAACUACGUG